rnacentral:rRNA from 1 species
ACGCGAAAGGCUCCUUCGGGAGCCGAGUAGAGUGGCAGACGGGUGAGUAACGCGUGGGUAACGUGCCCCAAUCCUGGGAAUAACCCUCGGAAACGAGGGCUAAUACCGAAUGCGGCCCCCGAUCGGAUGAUCGGUGGCUAAAGGUGGCCUCUUCUAUGCUGCCGGGUUGGGAUCGGCCCGCGUCCCAUUAGCUAGUUGGUGAGGUAACGGUCCACCAAGGCAACGAUGGGUAGCCGGCCUGAGAGGGUGUCCGGCCACACUGGCACUGAGACAAGGGCCAGUCCCCUAUGGGAGGCGCAGGCGGGAAUAGUUCCCAAUGGACGAAAGUCUGAGGACGCGACGCCGCGUGAGCGAAGAAGGCCUUCGGGUUGUAAAGCUCUGUCAGGAGGGAAGAAGGCGCUGGGUGUUAAUAGCACCAAGCGUUGACGGUACUUCCAGAGGAAGCCCCGGCUAAAUACGUGCCAGCAGCCGCGGUAAUACGUAUGGGGCAAGCGUUGUCCGGAUUAACUGGGCGUAAAGGGCACGCAGGCGGUUCGUUUAGUCGAAGGUGAAAUCCCUGGGCUCAACUCAGGAACUGCCUUCGAUACUGGCGAACUAGAGUGGCGUAGAGGAAAGCGGAACUCCUGGUGUAACGGUGGAAUGUGUCGAUAUCAGGAGGAACACCGGUGGCGAAGGCGGCUAUCUGGACGCACACUGACGCUCAGGUGCGAAAGCGUGGGUAGCAAACCGGAUUAGAUACCCUGGUA